GAUGAACGCUGGCGGCGUGCCUAAUACAUGCAAGUCGAGCGAACAGACGAGGAGCUUGCUCCUCUGACGUUAGCGGCGGACGGGUGAGUAACACGUGGAUAACCUACCUAUAAGACUGGGAUAACUUCGGGAAACCGGAGCUAAUACCGGAUAAUAUAUUGAACCGCAUGGUUCAAUAGUGAAAGACGGCUUUGCUGUCACUUAUAGAUGGAUCCGCGCCGCAUUAGCUAGUUGGUAAGGUAACGGCUUACCAAGGCGACGAUGCGUAGCCGACCUGAGAGGGUGGUCGCCCACCCUGGAACUUGGACACGGUCCAGACUCCUGCGGGAGGCAGCAGUAGGGAAUCUUCCGCAAUGGGCGAAAGCCUGACGGAGCAACGCCGCGUGAGUGAUGAAGGUCUUCGGAUCGUAAAACUCUGUUAUUAGGGAAGAACAAAUGUGUAAGUAACUAUGCACGUCUUGACGGUACCUAAUCAGAAAGCCACGGCUAACUACGUG
rnacentral:rRNA from 1 species